rnacentral:snRNA from 1 species
GACGGACUGGGAACGGCUCUC